AAAAUUAAACUCAGCCUGUGAUAUGGCUGUUUAGAGAGACAUUCCUUUUGUUUCAGGAUGGAAGGCAACAUCAUUCUGUAGCACCACAUUGCUUCUGAGUGGACACUUGCCAUUGUCUCAAGCUACCUGUUAGGUUGGGAUCUAACAAGCCAGACAUCUGCUCCUCCAACAGAGCUGCUAACACUACCAACAGGACAUUCUGAAAAUCGUGUCAAAUGUAAUUCACUUUAAAAUGGAAGCACCAACGCUGGCAUCAGCAGAGUCCUUCAAAGAAUUUGAUUCAGUGGAGGCCAACUCAACAAAAUAGAAAGCCCCAGAUGGACAGCCAUUGGCUGCACCUGGAGCAGACAAUUGAGAGGCCUGGCUCAUGGAUGGGUUUGAACCACCUCAGGACUGAAGAUGAGCGGCUCAGUUUCACUAACAACAAGAACAGUGACAAAUUCCCUGCCCGGCCCAAGCUCUGUGGUCCUUAUGCAGAUGCCAGUGGCACCCCUGUCCCAGAUGUGACAACCAAAAAUGAUGUCAGACAUUGCUGAAUUGUCCCCUGGAGGAGGAGAAAAAUCAACCCCUUUGAGAACUGCUGGGCAGCUCUAAAGCUGGAGAUCCCUAUGCCAAGCCCUCAAAGCAGCCCCGACUUUCCGUGCAAUAAAGCAGCAGUGAGAAAGGCUCAGAGUAAUUAAGUGGCUGACGCACAGAAGAAGCCGUUACAAAGAAUUGACUAAAUUGCCCAUUCAUUAGCAGCUCGGCAUGGAAGGAGAAUUACAAAUAGACGGCGGAGCCCGCAGUAAUUCAAUCUAACCUUGUACUUACAGAAAACAAUGAGAUAAUGAACAGAAAAAUUACCAGGCACAUAUUGUAUUUUGUUAAAGG
rnacentral:lncRNA from 1 species